rnacentral:rRNA from 1 species
GACGAACGCUGGCGGCGUGCUUAACACAUGCAAGUCGAACGAAGUGGCGAACGGGUGAGUAAUACGUUGGUAACCUGCCCUCCUUUUUGGGAUAAGCCUUGGAAACGGGGUCUAAUACCGAAUACAGUGGGCUGGGCUCGCGGCCUGUCAGCUUGUUGGUGGGGUGAUGGCCUACCAAGGCGGUGACGGGUAGCCGGCCUGAGAGGGUGACCGGCCACAGUGAGACUGAGAGACGGCCCAGACUCCUACGGGAGGGAGAAGUGGGGGAAAUUGCACAAUGGGCGAAAGCCUGAUGCAGCGACGCCGCGUGGGGGAUGAAGGCUUUCGGGUUGUAAACCUCUUUAGCUAUCGAACGGGUAGGUAGAGAAGAAGCGCCGGCUAACUACGUGCCAGCAGCCGCGGUAAUAC